AACGAGCGCAACCCCUCGCAUUCAGUUGCCAUCGGGUAAUGCCGGGCACUCUGGAAGGACUGCCAUCGACAAGAUGGAGGAAGGUGGGGAUGACGUCAAGUCAUCAUGGCCCUUAUGUCCAGGGCGACACACGUGCUACAAUGGCCGAUACAGAGGGCAGCUACCUGGUGACAGGAUGCAAAUCUCCAAAGUCGGUCUCAGUUCGGAUCGGAGUCUGCAACCCGACUCCGUGAAGUUGGAUUCGCUAGUAAUCGCGCAUCAGCCAUGGCGCGGUGAAUACGUUCCCGGGCCUU
rnacentral:rRNA from 1 species